rnacentral:rRNA from 1 species
UACGUAGGGGGCAAGCGUUGUCCGGAUUUACUGGGCGUAAAGAGCGUGUGAGGCGGCUUGGUAGGUCUCGCGAUCAAAACCUGAGGCUCAACCUCAGUUCGCGUGGGAAACCACCUAGCUAGAGUCCGGAAGAGGAGAACGGAAUUCCCAGUGUAGCGGUGAAAUGCGCAGAUAUUGGGAAGAACACCAGUGGCGAAGGCGGUUCUCUGGGACGGUACUGACGCUGAGACGCGAAAGCGUGGGGAGCGAACAGG